rnacentral:rRNA from 1 species
AUUGAACGCUGGCGGCAGGCCUAACACAUGCAAGUCGAACGGAGUGGCGGACGGGUGAGUAAUGUCUGGGAAACUGCCUGAUGGAGGGGGAUAACUACUGGAAACGGUAGCUAAUACCGCAUACUAUCAGAUGAGCCUAGGUGGGAUUAGCUAGUUGGUGGGGUAAAGGCCUACCAAGGCGACGAUCCGUAACUGGUAUGAGAGGAGGAUCAGUCACACUGGAACUGAGCCACGUGCCAGACUCCUACGGGAGGCAGCAUUGGGGAAUAUUGGACAAUGGGCGAAAGCCUGAUCCAGCCAUGCCGCGUGUGUGAAGAAGGUCUUCGGAUUGUAAAGCACUUUAAGUUGGGAGGCGUUACCAACAGAAUAAGCACCGGCUAACUCCGUGCCAGCAGCCGCGGUAAUAC